AUUGAACGCUGGCGGCAGGCCUAAAACAUGCAAGUCGAACGAGUGGCGGACGGGUGAGUAAUGUCUGGGAAACUACCUGAUGGAGGGGGAUAACUACUGGAAACGGUAGCUAAUACCGCAUACCAUCAGAUGUGCCCAGAUGGGAUUAGCUAGUGGGUGGGGUAACGGCUCACCAAGGCGACGAUCCCUAGCUGGUAUGAGGUGAUGACAAUCCACACUGGAACUGGAACACGGUCCAUACUCCUACGGGGGGCAUGAGUGGGGAAUAUUGCACAAUGGGCGCAAUCCUGAUUCAGCCAUGCCGCGUGUAUGAAGAAGGCCUUCGGGUUGUAAAGUACUUUCAGCGGGGAGGCGUUACCCGCAGAAGAAGCACCGGCUAACUCCGUGCCAGCAGCCGCGGUAAUUC
rnacentral:rRNA from 1 species